rnacentral:ncRNA from 2 species
AUGAGCCGUAUGAUGCGAAAGUAUCACGUACGUUUUUGAAGACGAGUCAGAGGUGACUCACUGGCUUAGUUUAAU